AGCAGCCGCGGUAAUUCCAGCUCCAAUAGCGUAUAUUAAAGUUGUUGCAGUUAAAAAGCUCGUAGUUGAAUUUUGGAUUCUGCCAGUUGGUCCAUCUUUUGAUGAGUACUGAUUGUGUGGGGUCUAUCCGCCUGGUGAUACGUAAUGUACUUUAUUGUAUGUUGCGGGUAGUCAGGACCUUUACCUUGAAAAAUUAGAGUGUUUAAAGCAGGCUUAUGCCGGAAUACAUUAGCAUGGAAUAAUAGAAUAGGACGAUGUUGUUUUAUUUUGUUGGUUUCUAGGACAACCGUAAUGAUUAAUAGGGAUAGUUGGGGGCAUUAGUAUUCAAUUGUCAGAGGUGAAAUUCUUGGAUUUAUUGAAGACUAACUACUGCGAAAGCAUUUGCCAAGGAUGUUUUCAUUAAUCAAGAACGAAAGUUAGGGGAUCGAAGACGAUCAGAUACCGUCGUAGUCUUAACCAAUAAACUAUGCCGACUAGGGAUCGGGCGAUGUUGUUUCAAUGACUCGCUCGGCACCUU
rnacentral:rRNA from 1 species